rnacentral:rRNA from 1 species
ACGCGAAAGCCCCCUUCGGGAGGCAAGUAGAGUGGCGCACGGGUGAGUAACACGUAGGUAAUCUACCUUUGGAUGGGGAAUAACCACCGGAAACGGUGGCUAAUACCGCAUAAUGCAGCGGCACCUAAUGGUGACAGUUGUUAAAGCGGGGGAUCGCAAGACCUCGCGUCUGAAGAGGAGCCUGCGGCAGAUUAGCUAGUUGGUAAGGUAACGGCUUACCAAGGCGAUGAUCUGUAGCCGGCCUGAGAGGGCGGUCGGCCACACUGACACUGACAUACGGGUCAGACUCCUACGGGAGGCAGCAGUCGGGAAUUUUGGGCAAUGGGCGAAAGCCUGACCCAGCAACGCCGCGUGAAGGAUGAAAUCCCUCGGGAUGUAAACUUCGCAAGAACGGGAAGAAUAAGUAAGGGUUAAUAUCUCUUACGAUGACGGUACCGUUUGUAAGCUCCGGCUAACUCCGUGCCAGCAGCCGCGGUAAUACGGGGGGAGCAAGCGUUG